CUACAGAGGGUGCAAGCGUUAUUCGGAAUUACUGGGCGUAAGGCGCGCGCAGGCGGCCGUUUAAGUUGGAUGUGAAAGCCUACGGCUCAACCGUAGAACUGCAUCCAAAACUAUUUGGCUAGAGUGUGGGAGAGGAAGAUGGAAUUAGUUGUGUAGGGGUAAAAUCCGUAGAGAUAACUAGGAAUACCAAAAGCGAAGGCAAUCUUCUGGAACACUACUGACGCUGAGGCGCGAAAGCGUGGGGAGCAAACGGGAUUAGAAACCCUAGUAGUCC
rnacentral:rRNA from 1 species